rnacentral:rRNA from 1 species
UACGUAGGGUGCAAGCGUUAAUCGGAAUUACUGGGCGUAAAGCGUGCGCAGGCGGCUCUGCAAGACAGAUGUGAAAUCCCCGGGCUCAACCUGGGAACUGCAUUUGUGACUGCAUGGCUAGAGUACGGUAGAGGGGGAUGGAAUUCCGCGUGUAGCAGUGAAAUGCGUAGAUAUGCGGAGGAACACCGAUGGCGAAGGCAAUCCCCUGGACCUGUACUGACGCUCAUGCACGAAAGCGUGGGGAGCAAACAGG